AAGCCAUGAUGAGGGCAUUGGUUGGUAUAACCCUUGAAACGCUCCCAUGCUUCACAGAACCUUUCACCCGCCUUCUGUAAAAAGCCUGAGAUCUCAUUUCUUAGUCU